rnacentral:rRNA from 1 species
GGCAUGCGCAGCUACCAUGCAGUCGAGCGGUAACAGAUCCAGCUUGCUGGAUGCUGACGAGCGGCGGACGGGUGAGUAAUGCAUAGGAAUCUGCCCGAUAGUGGGGGAUAACCUGGGGAAACCCAGGCUAAUACCGCAUACGUCCUACGGGAGAAAGGGGGCUUCGGCUCCCGCUAUCGGAUGAGCCUAUGUCGGAUUAGCUAGUUGGUGAGGUAACGGCUCACCAAGGCCACGAUCCGUAGCUGGUCUGAGAGGAUGAUCAGCCACAUCGGGACUGAGACACGGCCCGAACUCCUACGGGAGGCAGCAGUGGGGAAUAUUGGACAAUGGGGGGAACCCUGAUCCAGCCAUGCCGCGUGUGUGAAGAAGGCCCUCGGGUUGUAAAGCACUUUCAGCGAGGAAGAACGCCUAGCGGUUAAUACCCGCUAGGAAAGACAUCACUCGCAGAAGAAGCACCGGCUAACUCCGUGCCAGCAGCCGCGGUAAUACGGAGGGUGCAAGCGUUAAUCGGAAUUACUGGGCGUAAAGCGCGCGUAGGUGGCUUGAUAAGCCGGUUGUGAAAGCCCCGGGCUCAACCUGGGAACGGCAUCCGGAACUGUCAAGCUAGAGUGCAGGAGAGGAAGGUAGAAUUCCCGGUGUAGCGGUGAAAUGCGUAGAGAUCGGGAGGAAUACCAGUGGCGAAGGCGGCCUUCUGGACUGACACUGACACUGAGGUGCGAAAGCGUGGGUAGCAAACAGGAUUAGAUACCCU